UCACCUUCCGACGAUAUUGGGAGGAGGGUUAUUAAUUAGCAGUUGAAGAAAGAGUAGCAUAAGAUGUUGUAUCUGGUUGACACAUCCUCGACACGACUUCGGAGAUUACUUGCAUCAUUUCUCCGGUGAAUUGAAGGAGCGGUUUUCGGACAAAGCGUGCCCAUAAUCCCAAAACACCUACCAUCACCAUUCCCGUUUCAGCUAUCAUAUCUUCCACUUCUUUUCCUUUGCAAUCUCACUAAUGUCUUCGAUAAUAAACUCGAUACUUGAGACUAGUUAUGGCUAAAGCUUUUUGUGAGGGGUACGUUGAACUGU